rnacentral:rRNA from 1 species
UGCCAGACUCCUACGGGAGGCAGCAGUGGGGGAUAUUGCGCAAUGGGGGAAACCCUGACGCAGCAACACCGCGUGAAUGUUAAGCCCUUCGGGGUGUAAAGUUCUGUCAAUAGGGACGAAUUUUGACUGUACCUAUAAAGGAAGCACCGGCUAACUCCGUGCCAGCAGCCGCGGUAAUACGGGGGGUGCAAGCGUUGUCCGGAAUCAUUGGGCGUAAAGCGUUCGUAGGCGGUAUGUCAAGUCUGAUGUGAAACCCCGGGGCUCAACCCCGGGCAUGCAUUGGAAACUGGCGGGCUGGAGUGCCGGAGAGGUAAGCGGAAUUCCUAGUGUAGCGGUGAAAUGCGUAGAUAUUAGGAGGAACACCAGUGGCGAAGGCGGCUUACUGGACGGCAACUGACGCUGAGGCUCGAAAGCGUGGGGAGCAAACAGGAUUAGAUACCCGAGUA